AUGUGGGGACCAGCUGUGGAAGACACACCAACAAAGUUGGAAGUGUCCGGGGGUCUGUUACAAGUUGGAAGGCUUUUACAGGAAACCCAGACCCAAGACCAACCCCAACCAGUGGCGGAGGAAGAGGUUAAGACAUUUGUCUUUCAGGCAGAAAUUGCCCUGCUGAUGUCAUUGAUCAUCAAUACUUUCUACUGAAACAAAGAGAUUUUUCUGAGAGAGCUCAUUUCAAACUCAUUGGAUGCUUUGGACAAAAUCAGAUACAAACGAAAGCUUGACAGAUCCCAGUAAACUAGACUCUGGGAAAGAGUCACACAUUAAUCUCAUACCAAACAAACAAGAUCGAACCCUCACUAUUGUGGAUACUGGAAUUGGAAUGACCAAGGCCGACUUGAUCAAUAACCUUGGUACUAUCGCCAAGUCUGGGACCAAGGCAUUCAUGGAAGCUCUGCAGGCUGGUGCAGACAUAUCUAUGAUUGGUCAGUUUAGCGUUGGUUUUUAUUCUGCAUAUUUGGUUGCUGAAAAAGUAACUGUGAUCACCAAACAUAACGAUGACUCCCAGUAUGCCUCGGAGUCCUCAGCAGGGGGAUCUGUUACAGUUAGAACUGACACAGGUGAACCUAUGGGUCAUGGAACAAAGGUUAUCCUCCAUCUGAAAGAAGACCAAACUGAGUGCUUGGAGGAAAGAAGAAUAAAGGAGAUUGUGAAGAAACAUUCUCAGUUUAUUGGCUAUCCCAUUACUCUGUGUGUGGAGAAGGGACGUGACAAAGAAGUCAGCGAUGAUGAGGCUGAAGAAAAGGAAGACAAGGAGGAGGAGAAAGAAAAAGAAGAAAAGGAAUCUGGAAUCUGAUGACAAUCCUGAAAUAGAAGAUGUUGGUUCUGAUGAAGAAAAAGAAGAAAAGAAGGAUGAAGAAGAAGAAGAAGAAGAAGAAAAGGAAAAGUACAUUGAUCAAGAAGAGCUCAACAAAACAAAGCCUAUGUGGACCAGAAAUCCUGAUGAUAUUACUAAUGAAGAAUACGGAAAAUUCUAUAAGAGCUUGACCAAUGACUGGGAAGAUCAUUUGGUGGUGAAGCACUUUUUGGUUGAAGGACAGUUGGAAUUCAGAGCUCUUCUUUUUGUCCCAAGACUUGCUCCUUUCAACCUAUUUGAAAACAGAAAGGAAAAGAACAACAUUAAGUUCUAUGUGCACAGAGUUUUCAUUGUGGAUAACUGUGAGGAGCUGAUCCCUGAAUACUUGAAUUUCCUUAGAGGAGUGGUGGACUCUGAGGAUCUCCCUCUAAAUAUUUCCUGUGAGAUGGUGCAGCAAAGCAAAAUUUUGAAAGUUAUCAGAAAGAAUUUGGUCAAAAAGUGCUUAGAGCUCUUCACCAAAUUGGCAGAAGAUAAAGAGAACUACAAAAAGCUUUAUGAGCACUUCUUUAAAAACAUAAAGCUUGGAAUACAUGAAAACUCUCAAAACCAAAAGAAGCUUUCAGAGCUGUUACGAUACUAUACAUCUGCUUCUGCAAAGACUAUUGCACCAGAAGGAAGGAAAAUCAGAAACAUAUCUACUAUAUCACAGGUGAGACUAAGGACCAGGUAGCUAACUCAGCCUUCGUGGACCGUCUUCGGAAGCAUGGCUUAGAAGUGAUCUAUAUGAUCGAGCCAAUCGAUGAGUACGGCGUCCAACAGCAAAAGGAAUUUGAGGGGAAAACUUUAGUGUCAGCCACCAAAGAAGGCUUAGAACUUCCAGGAGAUGAAGAAGAGAAAAAGAAACAGGAAGAGAAAAAAACAAAGUUUGAAAACCUCUGCAAAAUCAUGAAAGACAUCUUGGAGAAAAAAGUUGAAAACCUGGUUCUGUCAAACUGGAUUGGUGACAUCCCCAUGCUGCAUUGUCACAAGCACAUAUAGCUGGACAGCAAACAUGGAAAGAAUUAUGAGAGCUCAAGCCCUAAGAGACACCUCCACUAUGGGUUACAUGGCAGCGAAGAAACACCUGGAGAUAAACCCUGACCAUUCCAUUAUUGAGACCCUAAGGCAAAAGGCAGAGGCUGACAAGAACGACAAGUCUGAAGGAUCUGGCCAUCUUGCUUUACGUUACUGCACUCCUGCCUUCUGGCUUCAGUCUGGAAGAUCCCAGACCCCUGCUAACAGGAUCUACAGGAUGGUCAAACUUGGUCUGGGAAUUGAUGAAGAUGACCCUACUACCAAUGAUACUGACGCUGCUGUAAUUGAAGAGAUGCCACCUCUUGAAGGAGAUGACGACACAUCACUCAUGGAGGAAGUAGACUAA